rnacentral:rRNA from 1 species
GCUCAUGAUGUGCGGUUGGUGAGCAGCGGAGGGAUCAUUACCGAGUUUACAACUCCCAAACCCCUGUGAACAUACCAUUUGUUGCCUCGGCGGAUCAGCCCGCUCCCGGUAAAACGGGACGGCCCGCCAGAGGACCCCUAAACUCUGUUUCUAUAUGUAACUUCUGAGUAAAACCAUAAAUAAAUCAAAACUUUCAACAACGGAUCUCUUGGUUCUGGCAUCGAUGAAGAACGCAGCAAAAUGCGAUAAGUAAUGUGAAUUGCAGAAUUCAGUGAAUCAUCGAAUCUUUGAACGCACAUUGCGCCCGCCAGUAUUCUGGCGGGCAUGCCUGUUCGAGCGUCAUUUCAACCCUCAAGCACAGCUUGGUGUUGGGACUCGCGUUAAUUCGCGUUCCUCAAAUUGAUUGGCGGUCACGUCGAGCUUCCAUAGCGUAGUAGUAAAACCCUCGUUACUGGUAAUCGUCGCGGCCACGCCGUUAAACCCCAACUUCUGAAUGUUGACCUCGGAUCAGGUAGGAAUACCCGCUGAACUUAAGCAUAUCAAUAAGCGGAGGAA